UACCUUGUUGCUUCGGCGGGCCCGCCUUAACUGGCCGCCGGGGGGCUUACGCCCCCGGGCCCGCGCCCGCCGAAGACACCCUCGAACUCUGUCUGAAGAUUGUAGUCUGAGUGAAAAUAUAAAUUAUUUAAAACUUUCAACAACGGAUCUCUUGGUUCCGGCAUCGAUGAAGAACGCAGCGAAAUGCGAUACGUAAUGUGAAUUGCAAAUUCAGUGAAUCAUCGAGUCUUUGAACGCACAUUGCGCCCCCUGGUAUUCCGGGGGGCAUGCCUGUCCGAGCGUCAUUUCUGCCCUCAAGCACGGCUUGUGUGUUGGGCCCCGUCCUCCGAUCCCGGGGGACGGGCCCGAAAGGCAGCGGCGGCACCGCGUCCGGUCCUCGAGCGUAUGGGGCUUUGUCACCCGCUCUAUAGGCCCGGCCGGCGCUUGCCGAUCAACCCAAAUUUUUAUCCAGGUUGACCUCGGAU
rnacentral:rRNA from 1 species